rnacentral:rRNA from 1 species
UGGGGAAUCUUGGACAAUGGGGGCAACCCUGAUCCAGCCAUGCCGCGUGAGUGAUGAAGGCCUUAGGGUCGUAAAGCUCUUUCGCCUGUGAAGAUAAUGACGGUAGCAGGUAAAGAAACCCCGGCUAACUCCGUGCCAGCAGCCGCGGUAAUACGGAGGGGGUUAGCGUUGUUCGGAAUUACUGGGCGUAAAGCGCACGUAGGCGGACCAGAAAGUUGGGGGUGAAAUCCCGGGGGCUCAACCCCGGAACUGCCUCCAAAACUAUUGGUCUAGAGUUCGAGAGAGGUGAGUGGAAUUCCAAGUGUAGAGGUGAAAAUUCGUAGAUAUUUGGAGGAACACCAGUGGCGAAGGCGGCUCACUGGCUCGAUACUGACGCUGAGGUGCGAAAGUGUGGGGAGCAAAACAGGAUUAGAUACCCUGGUAGUCCACACCGUAAAACGAUGAAUGCCAGUCGUCGGGGUAGCAUGCUAUUCGGUGACACACCUAACGGAUUAAGCAUUCCGCCUGGGGAGUACGGUCGCAAGAUU